UUCUCGUAAUUGAUAAAACCAAUAUAAUUCAACAUACAUCACAUUCGAUUUUGAAGGGAGCGUUAGACAAUGAAAACAUAUCCAUGUAUGACCCAUACACAACAAAAUAAUAUUGUCAUUUUAAUUUUACGCUCAGGACUGGAGCAUUAGUAGAAAUUUUACUAAUCGCUUAAGUCCUAUUUCUAAUUGAAUGGGACUUAAAGA
rnacentral:sRNA from 1 species